rnacentral:rRNA from 1 species
UACGAAGGGUGCAAGCGUUGUUCGGAAUUACUGGGCGUAAAGCGUGCGCAGGCGGUUUUGUAAGCCAGGUGUGAAAUCCCCGGGCUCAACCUGGGAAUGGCAUUUGGGACUGCAAGGCUGGAGUGCGGCAGAGGAGACUGGAAUUCCUGGUGUAGCAGUGAAAUGCGUAGAUAUCAGGAGGAAUACCGAUGGCGAAGGCAGGUCUCUGGGCUGACACUGACGCUCAUGCACGAAAGCGUGGGGAGCAAACAGG